ensembl:lncRNA
GCUAAUGAUGAAGGCCGUUGCCCUUGAUCUAGAUGACUCACACCAACCUUGACUUGUUGGGCAACUGUAGUUUUAUUGAUGGUAACUUGCUGAAUUCCACCUUUUAGAUCCAGACACUAAAGAAAACAAAGCGCCAUCACUAAAAAAGCAAAUGAGAUGAAUGAUUUCAUUUGAAUUUUUCAAAUGUUCAGCUCUCAAGUUAACAGAGGUUUAAGUGGGACUCCUCUCUUGUCGAAAGUAAAGAUAUUAAUAUCUUCACUGUAGGGUUGCUGUGAGGAUUAAUAAGUCAAUACAUGCUUAGGACACGGCCUGUCAACAGUGAGGGCUCAGAGAAAUGUGGAGCAGAUGCAGACACAGGGAGAACUCUUUGUGAAGAUGAAGGCAGAGAUCAGGGUGAGGUUUCUACACACCAAGGAACUCCAGUGAUCACCAGCAG